GGGUUGUGAGGUUAAGCGACUAAGCGUACACGGUGGAUGCCCUGGCAGUCAGAGGCGAUGAAGGACGUGCUAAUCUGCGAAAAGCGCCGGCGAGGUGAUAUGAACCUUUGACCCGGCGAUGUCCGAAUGGGGAAACCCAGUGUGAUUCGUCACACUAUCGUUAACUGAAUACAUAGGUUAACGAGGCGAACUGGGGGAACUGAAACAUCUAAGUACCCCGAGGAAAAGAAAUCAACCGAGAUUCCCCCAGUAGCGGCGAGCGAACGGGGAGCAGCCCAGAGUCUGAAUCAGCUUGUGUGUUAGUGGAAGCGUCUGGAAAGUCGCACGGUACAGGGUGACAGUCCCGUACACGAAAGCACACAGGUUGUGAACUCGAAGAGUAGGGCGGGACACGUGGUAUCCUGUCUGAAUAUGGGGGGACCAUCCUCCAAGGCUAAAUACUCCUGACUGACCGAUAGUGAACCAGUACCGUGAGGGAAAGGCGAAAAGAACCCCGGCGAGGGGAGUGAAAUAGAACCUGAAACCGUGUACGUACAAGCAGUGGGAGCACCUUCGUGGUGUGACUGCGUACCUUUUGUAUAAUGGGUCAGCGACUUAUAUUCUGUAGCAAGGUUAACCGUAUAGGGGAGCCGAAGGGAAACCGAGUCUUAACUGGGCGUUAAGUUGCAGGGUAUAGACCCGAAACCCGGUGAUCUAGCCAUGGGCAGGUUGAAGGUUGGGUAACACUAACUGGAGGACCGAACCGACUAAUGUUGAAAAAUUAGCGGAUGACUUGUGGCUGGGGGUGAAAGGCCAAUCAAACCGGGAGAUAGCUGGUUCUCCCCGAAAGCUAUUUAGGUAGCGCCUCGUGAACUCAUCUUCGGGGGUAGAGCACUGUUUCGGCUAGGGGGCCAUCCCGGCUUACCAACCCGAUGCAAACUACGAAUACCGAAGAAUGUUAUCACGGGAGACACACGGCGGGUGCUAACGUCCGUCGUGAAGAGGGAAACAACCCAGACCGCCAGCUAAGGUCCCAAAGUCAUGGUUAAGUGGGAAACGAUGUGGGAAGGCACAGACAGCCAGGAUGUUGGCUUAGAAGCAGCCAUCAUUUAAAGAAAGCGUAAUAGCUCACUGGUCGAGUCGGCCUGCGCGGAAGAUGUAACGGGGCUAAACCAUGCACCGAAGCUGCGGCAGCGACACUAUGUGUUGUUGGGUAGGGGAGCGUUCUGUAAGCCGUUGAAGGUGGCCUGUGAGGGUUGCUGGAGGUAUCAGAAGUGCGAAUGCUGACAUAAGUAACGAUAAAGCGGGUGAAAAGCCCGCUCGCCGGAAGACCAAGGGUUCCUGUCCAACGUUAAUCGGGGCAGGGUGAGUCGACCCCUAAGGCGAGGCCGAAAGGCGUAGUCGAUGGGAAACAGGUUAAUAUUCCUGUACUUGGUGUUACUGCGAAGGGGGGACGGAGAAGGCUAUGUUAGCCGGGCGACGGUUGUCCCGGUUUAAGCAUGUAGGCGGAGGUUCCAGGUAAAUCCGGUACCUUUUAACGCUGAGGUGUGAUGACGAGGCACUACGGUGCUGAAGUAACAAAUGCCCUGCUUCCAGGAAAAGCCUCUAAGCAUCAGGUAACAUCAAAUCGUACCCCAAACCGACACAGGUGGUCAGGUAGAGAAUACCAAGGCGCUUGAGAGAACUCGGGUGAAGGAACUAGGCAAAAUGGUGCCGUAACUUCGGGAGAAGGCACGCUGAUAUGUAGGUGAAGCCCCUGCGGGUGGAGCUGAAAUCAGUCGAAGAUACCAGCUGGCUGCAACUGUUUAUUAAAAACACAGCACUGUGCAAACACGAAAGUGGACGUAUACGGUGUGACGCCUGCCCGGUGCCGGAAGGUUAAUUGAUGGGGUUAGCGGCAACGCGAAGCUCUUGAUCGAAGCCCCGGUAAACGGCGGCCGUAACUAUAACGGUCCUAAGGUAGCGAAAUUCCUUGUCGGGUAAGUUCCGACCUGCACGAAUGGCGUAAUGAUGGCCAGGCUGUCUCCACCCGAGACUCAGUGAAAUUGAACUCGCUGUGAAGAUGCAGUGUACCCGCGGCAAGACGGAAAGACCCCGUGAACCUUUACUAUAGCUUGACACUGAACACUGGUCCUUGAUGUGUAGGAUAGGUGGGAGGCUUUGAAGUGUGGACGCCAGUCUGCAUGGAGCCGUCCUUGAAAUACCACCCUUUAAUGGCUGGUGUUCUAACGUAGACCCGUGAUCCGGGUUGCGGACAGUGUCUGGUGGGUAGUUUGACUGGGGCGGUCUCCUCCCAAAGAGUAACGGAGGAGCACGAAGGUUAGCUAAUCCUGGUCGGACAUCAGGAGGUUAGUGCAAUGGCAUAAGCUAGCUUGACUGCGAGAGUGACGGCUCGAGCAGGUGCGAAAGCAGGUCAUAGUGAUCCGGUGGUUCUGAAUGGAAGGGCCAUCGCUCAACGGAUAAAAGGUACUCCGGGGAUAACAGGCUGAUACCGCCCAAGAGUUCAUAUCGACGGCGGUGUUUGGCACCUCGAUGUCGGCUCAUCACAUCCUGGGGCUGAAGUAGGUCCCAAGGGUAUGGCUGUUCGCCAUUUAAAGUGGUACGCGAGCUGGGUUUAGAACGUCGUGAGACAGUUCGGUCCCUAUCUGCCGUGGGCGCUGGAGAAUUGAGGGGGGCUGCUCCUAGUACGAGAGGACCGGAGUGGACGCAUCACUGGUGUUCGGGUUGUCAUGCCAAUGGCACUGCCCGGUAGCUAAAUGCGGAAAAGAUAAGUGCUGAAAGCAUCUAAGCACGAAACUUGCCCCGAGAUGAGUUCUCCCUGAGACUUUAAGUCUCCUGAAGGAACGUUGAAGACGACGACGUUGAUAGGUCGGGUGUGUAAGCGCAGCGAUGCGUUGAGCUAACCGAUACUAAUGAACCGUGAGGCUUAACCUUACAACGCCGAAG
rnacentral:rRNA from 2 species